rnacentral:rRNA from 1 species
UACGGAGGGUGCGAGCGUUGUCCGGAAUCAUUGGGCGUAAAGGGCGCGUAGGUGGCGGGACAAGCGUGCGGUGAAAGCUCGGGGCUCAACCCCGAGUCGGCCGUGCGAACUGUCUUGCUUGAGCACUGUAGAGGCAGGCGGAAUUCCGGGGUGUAGCGGUGGAAUGCGUAGAGAUCCGGAAGAACACCGGUGGCGAAGGCGGCCUGCUGGGCAGUUGCUGACACUGAUGCGCGACAGCGUGGGGAGCAAACAGG